AGGGUGACAGGUGGUGCAUGGUUGUCGUCAGCUCGUGUCGUGAGAUGUUGGGUUAAGUCCCGCAACGAGCGCAACCCUCGACCUUAGUUGCCAGCAUUCAGUUGGGCACUCUAAGGAGACUGCCGGUGUUAAACCGGAGGAAAGGUGGGGAUGACGUCAAGUCCUCAUGGCCCUUAUAUCCAGGGCUACACACGUGCUACAAUGGCCGGUACAAAGGGUCGCAAUACCGCAAGGUGGAGCUAAUCCCAAAAAGCCGGUCUCAGUUCGGAUUGGAGUCUGCAACUCGACUCCAUGAAGUCGGAAUCGCUAGUAAUCGCGUAUCAGCAUGACGCGGUGAAUACGUUCCCGGGCCUU
rnacentral:rRNA from 1 species